rnacentral:rRNA from 1 species
AUUCCUACGGGAGGCAGCAGUGAGGAAUAUUGGUCAAUGGGCGCAAGCCUGAACCAGCCAUGCCGCGUGCAGGAUGAAGCAUCUAUGGUGUGUAAACUGCUUUUAUACAGGAAGAAACACUCGGACGUGUCCGAGCUUGACGGUACUGUAGGAAUAAGGAUCGGCUAACUCCGUGCCAGCAGCCGCG